UAUCUUAGUGGUGCCGUUCGAAUUGUCAUCCCGUGACUUGACUUCGUCAGUAGCGAAAGCAAAUAUGGAGCCAAUAGCUCGUCUUGUGAAAGUAUCAUUACCAAAUUAUUUAGCUGGAUUACCGAUUCCAGAUACGAUAGGAGGAUGGUUUCGACUCGGUGUGACCGAUUGGGCAUCAUUAAUUCCACCAACCGCUUUAUUGGCAGGCAUUGGUUAUAUGUCGUACAAAGCGUUUUGUCCUCAUGGCAGACCGAAACCAUGUGGUAUAGUAAAUCCUUCUAUUAAGAAAGAUGUUAAUAAAGUAGUAGAUAUCAUUGACGUCGAAGAUAUAACAGAGAAGGCAGUUUUCUGCCGUUGCUGGAGGUCUAAAAAUUGGCCAUACUGUGAUGGAUCUCAUGGACCAUUCAAUAAAGAGGUCAACGACAAUGUUGGUCCAUUGGUCGUGAAGAAAGAGAAAUAAAUGCAAGCUGUCUGUUAUUUAAAUACCGGUUGACACAAAUACACUAUACUGUUUUAUACGUUUAGGGAAAAGUAAUUCUUAAAGAUUAAUAGAAAUUUAAAAAUAUAAAAGAAAAGGAUAAUAGAAAAGGAGAAAAUAUAAUUAAUAGAAAGAAAUAUAAUUGUCCCUUUAUCAAAAAAAAUACUUGAUGAGAUUAUUAUAAAAGGAGAUAAUAUAUUAUUGCCCAAAUAACUGAUAACAGUCAUUUAAGUAUCAUUGAAAUAUUCUUUAUCUUCUACACACACACACACACGCGCGCGAGCGCGCGUGCGCGCGCAUACACAUACGCACACGCAUGUAUGAAUGUGUAUGUAUAUCGUCAUCUUUAUUUUUUCUCUAUAGUAAAUUCAGUAUAUACUGAUUAAAAUAAAGAGAGAGAGAGAGAGAGAGAGAGAGAGAGAGAGAGAGAGAGAGAGAGAGAGAGAGAGAGAGAGAGAGAGAGAGAGAGAGAGAGAGAGAGAGAGAGAGAGAGAGAUGAAAAGUUAUAUUUACAUAUUUUAAAAAUAAAUAAGUGACUGUGAAAAAUUACAAUUUCGUAUUAAAACUAUACAUAGUACGCCGUUUAUUAAAAGCUAAUAUUUUCUUAUUAAUAUCUACGAUCACUUUAGAAAUCUUUAAAAAGCACGUGCCUUGCGCGCGCUAUUCGAGUAGUUUUAACGUGCGCGAUUACGUAAAACUUAUUCACACAAAACUAUUUUAUAUUUUCUUUCGUAUAACAUUAUUUUUUAUGAAUAAUUUUAUAUUCUCCUCCGUUGGAAAUAUUUUUCUUUACAGUUUAUAUGACGAACGUCACGAUAAUCUUACGUUUAUUGCGAUCUUUCAAUGUAAAUAAUUCAUUUAACCUAAAAAAAAAAAGAAAAAAAAAAAAAAAAAAAGAAAAAAAAAACAA